UACAGAGGGUGCGAGCGUUAAUCGGAAUUACUGGGCGUAAAGCGUGCGUAGACGGUUAUGUAAGUCGGGUGUGAAAGCCCCGGGCUCAACCUGGGAAUUGCCUUUAAGACUGCAUCGCUAGAAUUGUGGAGAGGUAAGUGGAAUUCCGAGUGUAGAGGUGAAAUUCGUAGAUAUUCGGAAGAACACCAGUGGCGAAGGCGACUUACUGGACACAUAUUGACGCUGAGGUGCGAAAGCGUGGGGAGCAAACAGG
rnacentral:rRNA from 1 species